rnacentral:rRNA from 1 species
UACGAAGGGGGCUAGCGUUGCUCGGAAUCACUGGGCGUAAAGCGCACGUAGGCGGCAUCUUAAGUCAGGGGUGAAAUCCUGGAGCUCAACUCCAGAACUGCCUUUGAUACUGAGGAGCUCGAGUCCGGGAGAGGUGAGUGGAACUCCGAGUGUAGAGGUGAAAUUCGUAGAUAUUCGGAAGAACACCAGUGGCGAAGGCGGCUCACUGGCCCGGUACUGACGCUGAGGUGCGAAAGCGUGGGGAGCAAACAGG